CGCCGCCAUAGCCGCCUUGCUGGUUGUGCUGGUGGAGAGGCACAGGUGGCUGAGCCAGUGCUGCCCUGUGAGCUCCCUCCCCGCAGGAGCCUCUGCAGGACCCCCGACUCGUCAGAAGCUGGGAAGGGUGUAGCCCUGCAGCCUGCUACAUGCUUCCCAGGCUGGAAAACACCAACACACCUUCAGGGUUGGUGUCAUUUGAAGAUGUGGCUGUGGACUUUACCCAGGAAGAAUGGCAGACAAUGGACAAUACUCAGAGGACCCUGUACAGGGAGGUGAUGCUUGAGACCUAUAACAAUCUGCUGUCCUUGGGGUACUCCAUGACAAAGCCUAAUGUGAUCUUCAAGUUGGAGCAAGAAUCAGCACCAUGGACAGUGGAGAAAUCUGUGAUGCAGAGAC